rnacentral:rRNA from 1 species
UACAGAGGGUGCGAGCGUUAUUCGGAAUUACUGGGCGUAAAGCGCACGUAGGUGGCGUCGUAAGUCGGGUGUGAAAGCCCCGGGCUCAACCUGGGAAUUGCAUUCGAGACUGCAUUGCUGGAGUACGGAAGAGGAGGGCGGAAUUCCCGGUGUAGCGGUGAAAUGCGUAGAUAUCGGGAGGAACAUCAGUGGCGAAGGCGGCCCUCUGGUCCAGUACUGACACUCAAGUGCGAAAGCGUGGGGAGCAAACAGG